CUCCUCAGAGAGGGUGCAGAAUCAGGCACCCCUCCCCCACCAGCAACUGUGAACCUAACUGCCUCUAUCUCCUCGGGGAAGCCGCCCGAUUUAGAAGCAGCUAGAAGUGCCUCACCUGGGUUUGCCACCACUCAGGCUGUGCGGGGUCGGGAGUCUCAGGUUUCACACAUACUGUCAAGUAAACGGUUUUCCAGACUGCCAGCGGCACAGGGAAUUCUCUGGGCAAGCAGUAGACGGAAGGAGCCAACCAGACCAACGAGGCGCUUGACUGUUUCUCUUUUAGCCCCGUGCUUGUGGUCUAAAAUCAGGAGCAGCUGGGAGCAUGAAAUGACCAUUUGUUUCAGUGCCAUUCCUGUUUAUAAAAAGUGGAGGACACAGUUUUGCUUCUGCUAUGGUCUGUAUUCAUUAAGAUGCAGGGAAUCUUUGGUGAGUCUUUAGUGAGUCUUUACUGCCCUCUUGUGGUAUUUAGCUCCUGGAGCAGUUGCAGAAAUGUGCCGAAGGUUCAUGGGGGUAGCUUGUGGCAGUGGAGUCCCAAUGAAUAACGCAAAGUGACGCAAAGACAGCACCUAGUCCAUCUUCCCAGAGGGACCUGUGCAGAGAGACUUGAAGCACUGAGAGCCAAGUGCUUACCAAGGACACUAAUGGUAAAACGCCAGAGGGUAUUUUAGAAUUGCCAGGCACCUUAACUUAGAAAAAAACCCCUGCAACCCCCAAACAAUUAUAGAUCAUUUUGGGUCUUCUGAAUGCUCUACAACUUCUGCUGCACUCAGACUCUGCCAGCCACAGAACCGAGAAUGGAUUGGAACAGAGAGGGAGGCAGUGGAGUUGCCAGGGCCCCUGUGGGCCGAGAGCCACAGCAUCCGCUUUAAAGAGAGAAGCAGACAGCAAUCUGCGGAAUGACGGGAAAUGAUGGGUGUCACAUGAGGGCGGAAUUCAAAUGAAAAAGUCUCUACUGUGUUCAGCUUGAAUUGCAAUGUGCACAAGAAGCCGCCUCCUGGAGUUAAAUACUCAAGCUGCCCAAGCCAGGGCCGACCCUGAGGCUGGCUUUCCUUCCUGGUUGGAUGGACAGCCGUGAGAAAGACACAGAGCACUGUCCCAACCCCACCCCAAAGGGGCUCGAACCUGUGCUUUCACACAGAGGUCUUUGUGUCUGCUUUUAUGAGUCUGCCUCUGUGGUGCUGGACCCAUUUGUUCAGCGACUCAAACAUAAACGUCUCCUAAAGUGUCUUGAAGGGACAGGAGCAAGCAUUUUUGAAAGAAGAGCCAUCUGCUAUUAAAUUUAGCACAGAACUUA